rnacentral:rRNA from 1 species
CUACGGGACGCACCAGUGGGGAAUAUUGGGCAAUGGGCGCAAGCCUGACCCAGCAACGUCGCGUGAGGGAAGAAGGUUUUCGGAUUGUAAACCUCUGUCCUUGGGGACGAAGAAGUGACGGUACCCAAGGAGGAAGCUCCGGCUAACUACGUGCCAGCAGCCGCGGUAAUACGUAGGGAGCAAGCGUUGUCCGGAAUUACUGGGCGUAACGGGUGCGUAGGCGGCAUAUUAAGUCAGGUGUGAAAUACUCGGGCUCAACCCGGGGGCUGCAUUUGAAACUGAUAUGCUUGAGUGUGAGAGAGGAAAGUGGAAUUCCUAGUGUAGCGGUGGAAUGCGUAGAUAUUAGGAGGAACACCAGUGGCGAAGGCGACUUUCUGGCUCAUAACUGACGCUGAGGCACGAAAGCGUGGGGAGCAAACAGGAUUAGAUACCCCAGUAGUC